rnacentral:lncRNA from 1 species
UUUUCUGUUUUGUUUUGCUUUGCUUUGCUGGGUUUUCUUUAGAAUAAUAGCCCAUCUGACCACCAGCAGGUUCAAGAGAAUGUAGAGCCAAACACUCAGGAAAAGUAUCACAGUGAAGAAUCAAACCUUAACAGCCAUUUGCAUUUAGAAUCCUGCAGUUAGUUCAUCCUCAAUAUGAAGAUGUGACUUUCACUUCAGUUGCCUCAGGCAGUUAAGUAUUUAUCCUAUUUCUGAAGCCUCAGUACUAGUAAUACCUUCAUUCAUGUAAUGACUUAUCAAGGACUGGCUACAGCUUACAACUACCACAUAAUGUCAGCAGCUUGAAGCAUCAAAGCUUCUGUUUCAGCACCACAUCAAAACUCAGGAAGCUUUAAAGUUCAUCCAAACACCCAGCCCUUGCUGAAAGAAGACAC